rnacentral:rRNA from 1 species
CAGUCGCCGCGGUAAUACGUAGGUGGCAAGCGUUAUCCGGAAUUAUUGGGCGUAAAGGGCUCGCAGGCGGUUUCUUAAGUCUGAUGUGAAAGCCCCCGGCUCAACCGGGGAGGGUCAUUGGAAACUGGGAAACUUGAGUGCAGAAGAGGAGAGUGGAAUUCCACGUGUAGCGGUGAAAUGCGUAGAGAUGUGGAGGAACACCAGUGGCGAAGGCGACUCUCUGGUCUGUAACUGACGCUGAGGAGCGAAAGCGUGGGGAGCGAACAGGAUUAGAUACCCCUGUAGUCCAUGUCUCUUUACA